rnacentral:piRNA from 1 species
UGAGCUCCAAAGUAGCAAAGCACACA